rnacentral:rRNA from 1 species
GAUGAACGCUGGCGGCGUGCCUAAUACAUGCAAGUCGAGCGAACGGACGAGAAGCUUGCUUCUCUGAUGUUAGCGGCGGACGGGUGAGUAACACGUGGAUAACCUACCUAUAAGACUGGGAUAACUUCGGGAAACCGGAGCUAAUACCGGAUAAUAUUUUGAACCGCAUGGUUCAAUAGUGAAAGACGGUUUUGCUGUCACUUAUAGAUGGAUCCGCGCUGCAUUAGCUAGUUGGUAAGGUAACGGCUUACCAAGGCAACGAUGCGUAGCCGACCUGAGAGGGUGAUCGGCCACACUGGAACUGAGACACGGUCCAGACUCCUACGGGAGGCAGCAGUAGGGAAUCUUCCGCAAUGGGCGAAAGCCUGACGGAGCAACGCCGCGUGAGUGAUGAAGGUCUUCGGAUCGUAAAACUCUGUUAUUAGGGAAGAACAAAUGUGUAAGUAACUAUGCACGUCUUGACGGUACCUAAUCAGAAAGCCACGGCUAACUACGUG